AGGUUGGUACUUGUACCAACUGGAUGAGCAGCGAACGGGUGAGUAACGCGUGGGGAAUCUGCCUUUGAGCGGGGGACAACAUUUGGAAACGAAUGCUAAUACCGCAUAAAAACUUUAAACACAAGUUUUAAGUUUGAAAGAUGCAAUUGCAUCACUCAAAGAUGAUCCCGCGUUGUAUUAGCUAGUUGGUGAGGUAAAGGCUCACCAAGGCGAUGAUACAUAGCCGACCUGAGAGGGUGAUCGGCCACAUUGGGACUGAGACACGGCCCAAACUCCUACGGGAGGCAGCAGUAGGGAAUCUUCGGCAAUGGACGAAAGUCUGACCGAGCAACGCCGCGUGAGUGAAGAAGGUUUUCGGAUCGUAAAACUCUGUUGGUAGAGAAGAACGUUGGUGAGAGUGGAAAGCUCAUCAAGUGACGGUAACUACCCAGAAAGGGACGGCUAACUACGUGCCAGCAGCCGCGGUAAUACGUAGGUCCCGAGCGUUGUCCGGAUUUAUUGGGCGUAAAGCGAGCGCAGGUGGUUUAUUAAGUCUGGUGUAAAAGGCAGUGGCUCAACCAUUGUAUGCAUUGGAAACUGGUAGACUUGAGUGCAGGAGAGGAGAGUGGAAUUCCAUGUGUAGCGGUGAAAUGCGUAGAUAUAUGGAGGAACACCGGUGGCGAAAGCGGCUCUCUGGCCUGUAACUGACACUGAGGCUCGAAAGCGUGGGGAGCAAACAGGAUUAGAUACCCUGGUAGUCCACGCCGUAAACGAUGAGUGCUAGAUGUAGGGAGC
rnacentral:rRNA from 1 species